rnacentral:rRNA from 1 species
GACGAACGCUGGCGGCGUGCUUAACACAUGCAAGUCGAGCGGAAAGGCCACUUCGGUGGUACUCGAGCGGCGAACGGGUGAGUAACACGCGAGUAAUCCGCCCCUGGCUUUGGGAUAGCCACCGGAAACGGUGAUUAAUACCGGAUACGACCACUUCUCGCAUGGGAUGGUGGUGGAAAGUUUUUCGGCCAGGGAUGUGCUCGCGGCCUAUCAGCUUGAUGGUGAGGUAAUGGCUCACCAUGGCUUCGACGGGUAGCCGGCCUGAGAGGGUGACCGGUCACACUGGGACUGAGACACGGCCCAGACUCCUACGGGAGGCAGCAGUGGGGAAUAUUGGACAAUGGGCGGAAGCCUGAUCCAGCAACGCCGCGUGAGGGAUGACGGCCUUCGGGUUGUAAACCUCUUUCAGCAGGGACGAAGCGCAAGUGACGGUACCUGCAGAAGAAGCACCGGCCAACUACGUGCAGCCGCCGCCGUAAUAC